AGAUGUUAAUGUUUUUGCAAAGUAAACCAGUAAUGUAUCAUUUCCCACCUGUUAGAAUAGCCAUUAUCAAAAAGACAAGGGAUAACCAGUGUUGGAAAAGAUGUGGAGAAAAUGGACCUUUGUACACUGUUGGUGGGCAUGUAAAUUGAUACAGUCAUGAGGCUGGGGUGUGGCCCAGUUGGUAGAGCGCUUGCCUAGCAAAUACAUGUGAGACACUGGGUUUGAUCCUCAGCACCACAUAAAAAUAAAGGUAAUGUGUCCAUCUACUAGAAGAAAUAUUUUUAAAAAAUUGGUACAGUCACUAUGAAAAACAGUAUGGAAAUUACUCAAAAAAAUUUUUAAAAAAUUGUAUAUAUAUCUACAGAAAAUGAAAUUAGUGUUCCUUAGGCGAUGUCUGUGUCCCUUGUUCACUGCAGCAUUGUUUACAAUAACUAAUGAAGACAACCUAAAUGUCAGUGGAUGAGUAAAGAAAGUGUUUUAUAUGUGAAUAUAGGAGAAUGAAAUAUUCAGUCUCAAAAAUGCAAUUCCUGCCCCUUUGACAGCGUGGACAAACCUCGAGGAUACUGCUCUCUGGGUAGUAUUAUAACUUGCAUCUGCACUGUUCCCCAAAGGCUUGAGUGUUGGAGG
rnacentral:lncRNA from 1 species